rnacentral:lncRNA from 1 species
GCAGUGCAGCAAUGCCAUUUCUCCAAGUGGAGGCAAAUUUGUGUGCGCGAGGACCCAUUUGCAUGCACCAAACGAGCCCAAGCCCUGGUUCUUAGCUAAAUAAGAGGACCUAGAGUCUCAGGCCACCUGCCUACUUCUGUAGCUUCUAGCAGAAAAAAACUAAGCGGUGUCUCUUUCUGUCUGAGUUGCAGCCCCAAGGAGCCGGAUGCAGACGUGGCAGGAUUUGAUGUUGCUUGCUGCAGCCUUCAUGCCAAAAGUCAUCCUCCUGCACUGGCACCCUUCUUGUUGAAGGGUUACACCAGCCAAGUUCAGACAGAGCAGCACUGGAGUUUUGACAGAACUCACGGCUAUUUGCAGCCAGGUUUCUCCAUCAAGGACAACAUGAUCCUGGAGGAGAUGACUGGAGGGAUGGUCACCACUUGUCUUUCAAGGUCUGGAAUGCUUCUUGGCUGCUCCAGCACCGGAUGAGGUCACUGCCAGCACACCUGCAUUCAUCUCCUGCUACUUUCUGCCACUGUCUGUGGCUUUGAGGCCUAAUGCUGCUACAAAGCAAGCUGAAAAAUGGGUUUUCAUUUCAACACUUCGGGGAUUGAGCCCUCCCUUCUACACUGAUUGAGCUGCGCGACACAGCUGGUCUAGCACGGGAGUAAACCUUGUUCACGUAAGAUAUAUGUGCUGUUCUACUCCCUUUCAUACACAGCCUCUGGAGAAAGAGAAUCGUUGCUCUGAUCAGAAAAGCAACAUCAGCUCAUGUUGCCACUGGAGGUCUGACCCGAGUUAGGAAGUCCAAAAGAUGCUUAUCCCAACUUCUUCCUCCACAGGGCUCAGCCUAACCUCAUACGCUGCUCUGCACACCAAAGCCCUCCUCAUAGUGUUUUCUCCUGGGAUGGGCCACAGCUGGUCCCUGGUCCAAAGCCCCCCACCCCAGGCACGGCGUGGCUUUCAGCCAACCCUGCCACCUAUCCCUGCUGGCAUAUCAGCAGGCUGUGGCCUCCUGGGCCUCCGCUCCCACACUGGGGCCAGCACUGGGUGUGGAGAGAAGCCUAUCUCGCAAGGCUGCUGUGCACAAAGCAGCUUUCCAGUGAGCUCAUCAUGGAGUCAGUGCCAGAACGAGUGCAAACAGAGCAUGAAGGGUUUGCACCCACAUGCCAGCCCAAUGCAAUACAUAUUUGGUAACCAGGAUCGAGGUUCUGAUCAAAUUCCUGCUGAUUAUUGCCCAACCUCUGCAGCAGCACAUGAGGUAGGUGAGGGGAGGUCCAGCUAUCACACACCAUCUUCUGGGAUAGCAGCAGCUGCUGCAGGGUUUGCUCCUGUUCAGGCUGCCAGGCCCUACUGCCGUGCUCUGUGUGGGGUGGGUCCUCUCCCCAUGCGAGCGGCUCAGUGGGCACAUUUCUGGAAGUACAUGGGUCUGCAUGUGGCUGCCUGGCACACAGCCUGUCCCACCAGCUCAAGCAGAGGUGUAGGCCCUGCUCUGGCACUGGAGGUAUUGGAGCCAGAGGUUCAGGGCUUGCUUGUCC